rnacentral:lncRNA from 1 species
GCCUACUCAAUGUGAAGAUGAGGAUGAAGAUUUUGUGAUGACCCACCUUUUUUAAAUAAAUGAAACUACCUGGACCUUACUAAAGAGACUGCCUCCAAAGAAUCUAGGCCACAUUUUUGGGGUUUGGAGGAUGCUUCGUCCCUCAAGUAGAGAAGAAGUGAUCCCAGAAGUGUUUCUUCCACCUAAGACAACACUGGAGGAUUUAUUGAGAUAUUGCUGGCAGACCUCCCUGUUCACAGAUCUUGGUUUUGCUGUGUUCACAAAUCCCUAAGAAGUUUACCUUGGAAUAUGAGGGGAGCCCCCAGAGACCACUGCUUUUAUUUUUGGCUUAGCCCGAGCCUCUCAAAUACAGAAGCACCUUUCUGUCAGAUCGUCAGGUCACCUCUGCAUGGACCAGCCUUCAUUCCUGAACGGGCCUUUAGACAUCUGACUCACAGCAGAAAAAGAUCACUUUGACUUUCUAUUUACAUUUCAUUUGGCAGAAAGCAGCAAACUACACUUUGAAGGUGUUGAACAUCCUCCAAUCAUUUUUACUGGAAUGGGAGGGAUGCAUCCAGUGCCAUAACUCAAUUCCAGUUGUGUUAUCACCUCCAAUCAAAUGAAAAUGUCCUUGAAGCUGAGGAUAUGCAUUCCUGAACAUGCUUACACUCAACAUAUGGCUCCAUGAGGCCAAACUUCAAGAUGAAAGCAAAGGAAAUCAGACAGUUGCCAAGAAAUUUCAUAAUAUUAGCAAUAGAUCUGGACGAGUGACUGAAUUUUUCACUUUUCGUCCACCUUUGUGUAUAACUACCCAAAGUGUUGAAAUUUCUUGGUGGGUACUCUGACUUGGCAAUAACAAGCAUAAUAAGAUUCCUAAGAUCAUGGCUUGCAGUACUGUGAACACUAUUAACAUAUAUGCAUUUUUAAACAUUCCUGCUCAGGUGCCCUGGAGCAUACUCCAGUACCAUCACUUGCUUUCCAUGCAAGCUCUGAUCAUGGAUUAUAGGUUCCUGUCAGUCUUAGCACUGAGCCUGACAUAUGGUUGGCACUCAAUAUGGGUCUGGUGAAUAAAAUGAAACAACUCAAUGCAGUGGCAACUUAACCACAAUAGCUGCUGCAAUCAGAAUAAAUGUUUCAAAAGCUAAGCCAAGAAAGGUGUUUUGUUUUUUUUUUUUAAAUGCAGCUCUGAGAAAAAGCAGCUAAUACAAACAUGAAAAAUAAGAUAUGAGGCCAAUAAAUCAGCAAUGGGCUACCUUCACUUACUUGGUUAAUAUCUCAUUGAACUUGGGCUUCAUUUGGAGGAGAGUAGUAUAACCCCCAGAAACACAAAUAUUCACAGAGCAAUUAAGAACAGUUCAAAGACCAACAUUAAUUAAAAAGACAUUUCUUUACAAUUUCCCAUAAAGAACAUUAAAGGGGAGUCCACUCCUCAGUCCACAGCGAUGUUGACAUCUUUCCCUCUUCUCCAUUUCCUUCACAUAUCCCAGCAGUCAGAUCCUCUCUGUUAUCUCCUUACCCCCAACUCCCAAAACAAUACUUUUCUUCCUCUCCUACCCUACAGGGCUUUCUUCCCUCCUUUCCUUCCUCCACAGGAUUUCUCUUAGCCCUUUAUUAUGUAGAUAAACUUAGCUUCUCUUCACUAUAAAUUAUCUAUUCCCUUCAGGAAGGGUGUAGACGAGGAAUUGGUUAGAAAUUGCGGAAUGAUCUUUGGGAUGCUAGAAGAAUGGCCAAGUCCAUUCACAUUUCCAGAUUAAUCAUUUUUGUCCCAGUGCAGUAAUAUUUUUAUUCAGCCACUCAACAAGAAUCAGACUUUGAUAUGUAAAGAAAAUAAGAUCCCAUAAUGUGUGCAGCAUUCAUAAACACAAUUACUUUUAUAACCAUCACAGACAUUUCGAGGCACAGUAAAACUCACUCUUACAGAUGACUUAUCUGGUAUAGUAUGGUGACCAGGCAGAUACAUAGGACCAUAAACUUUUUACUAUGCAGAAUUGGUAAAAGGUAUGUUGCGGAACAUAGCAUCCUUGAACUGAACAUUUUCAGACUAAAGUAUGUCAUGCUUUAGACAGCAGCAUGUAACUAGUGGAGGGUGGAUAAACAGCCUAGCUUUAUGACAACUGGAAGUACUCAGGCAGUAGUACUCAGGCAGAUGCUCAAAACUAAGCUAGGUAUUUCACAUUGAUUCUCUGGUAGCAGCACACAUUGAAGGACCAUUUCUAAGGAAGGCUCUCAAGGGAACUUUUACAUCACUUAGUGGCAUUGGUUUGACGUAUCACUUCUUUCUAAGGUCUUUUCCAGCUCUGAUUAAACAAUUUCACAAAAUUAUAUCAACUAUAAGUGGCAGAAAUAUAUUGCUUAUUAAGUACAUAUGAUGUCUAGGAAUUGAUUGGUUAUUGUCCAUAUUGUGAAAACCUGAUUAAUUCCAGAAAGAUAAAAUAAUAUAAUAAAGAUAAGCACAUGAAAACCAGAACAUUACAUAUUCUGAUUGGUAUUUCAAAUAUUGUUGAUUGUAUUUGAAGAGUUACGUGGCUUUAAAAAACAGUAGCAUAUACGGGAGUUUAGCUGGAGUAAUAUUUUCAGUACAGUCUCUUCCUGCCUCUUCUGAUGCUGCCUUCUUUUAUAAAACAAAUUUUAAAAAAAUUAAAAAUAGAGACAGGCAGGGUUUUGCUAUGUUGCCCAGGCUGGUUACGAACUGCUGGGCUCAAGUGAUCUUCCCAUUUGGGCCUCCCAAAGUGCUGGGAUUAUAGGUGUGAGCCACCAUGCAUGGCUUUUUAAUGCCUCCUUAACCACGUUCCCCAUCCCCCAUCACGGCCAUCCUAUCUCUGUAGAAAUGGUUUCCAUCUAACAUAUAUUUACUUUCAAGUUGCAAGUGCAUCCUCAUGAACACCAGAAACCUCUCGGCCUUACUUUUUAAUUCUAGCCACUGCUGCAGUGGGUGGUCUGUGCCCUGCAGGCUUUGCUCACAACAGCACAGCUAGAACAGGUCAGCAGCACACCCCCUUCCUCUCCUUCCGCCCGCACUUUUUCUCUGGCCCAGUCAGAUACCUCUUGCUUCCUCUCUUGGGCUUUUCCAUUCCACAGAACUGUUGGACACUCACUCACACAUUUACUUCUAGAAACAUGAGGGCUAUAAUACCCAAGAGGCCAUCUUCUGGCACUGGGAGGUGGGAGCCAUUGUAGACAAGCUUUACUGUUUGCCCGCAGGUGACCAGAAGGCCCCAGUAGAAUAAAUCACAGUAUCCUGUAGCAGAGGCCAACUCUACAACAUAAUUUUGAACAAGUUUUCGCUCCUUUCAUGUUUUACUCUCCUGCCACCUGCCACGUACUCCUGUUCUGAAAGAUCAUAUUCCCAAAUAAACUAUGGGCACACGAGCGUGUCUCAAUAUUUGGGGAUGCACAGGCCAAAACAUGCAUAUGUCAUACUGUUGGGAAUCUUCUUAUCACUUUGUAAGAAAGAGUUACAUAAAAAUUGUUCCUAUGCUACUUUGUUUUUUGAUUACUAAAAACUUAGGCCUUGGAGAGGGAACCUACAAUUCAUACUAUCCAAUAGGUAGCCACUAGGUACAUGAGCACCUGAAAUACAGCUAGUAUGAAUUGAGAUAUACUGUAAGUACAAAGUAUAUACCAACUUUCAAGACAAUACAAAAAAAGUGAUAAUUUUUAUAUAGGUUUCAUGUUGAAAUAAUAUUUUUCAUAUAUUGGGUUAAAUAAAAUAUAUUAUUAAAAUGAAUUUUGCCAUUUUUAACACUUAAAAUGUGGCUAUUAGACAAUUUAGUAUUACAUGGGUGGCUCACAUUAUAUCCUUAUUGGCUGCUUCUACUGCAGUUGAAAAGGGACUUCAGAGACAUAUCAGUCAACUGCCAAGCACUUACUUAAAGCUAAUUGGAAUAAAAAUCAUGUAAAAAUUAUAAGACAAUGUGGAAAAUUUGAAAACUGCCUGGAUAUUUGAUGUGAGGAAUUACUGUUAACUCAUUUUUUAAGUGUGAUAAUGGUCUCAGGGUUUUUUUUUUAAAGAUUUAUUAUCUUUUAGAGAUAUACACCAAAAUAUUUAAGAAUGAAAUGAUGUAAUGUUAUAGUUUGCUCCAAAAGAAAGUAGGUAGGCAUAUAAAUGAAAUAAAUGUGGCUUUUGGUUGAUAAUUGGUGAAGUUAGAUAAUGGUAUUGGGAGUUUAUUAUCUUAUUGUCUCUACCUUUGUAUGCAUUUGAAAUUUUCUACAAGAAGAAAUGUUUUAUUAAAAUAAAUAAACUUUUGUCAAUGGCUAGUGAUAAAAAGACACUGACCUAUGGGCUGUGUAUACAAUUUUAUAUAUAUAUAUAUAUAUACACAUAGAUACUGAUAUAUAUAUCACUAUAUACUCUACUUCCCAGAAUUCAUUACUUAGCAAGAGGAUGGUACUUGCAAUUGUAUUAUGGUAGGUGUGCACA